AUUCGUGCCGGUGACACUUCAUUCAAAUCUCUGCCCUAUCAACUUUCGAUGGUAGUAUAGAGGACUACCACGGUCGUAACGGGUAACGGGGAAUUAGGGUUUGAUUCCGGAGAGGGAGCCUGAGAAACGGCUACCACGUCUACGGACGGCAGCAGGCGCGCAAAUUACCCAAUUCCGACACGGAGAGGUAGUGACAACAAAUAACAAUACCGGUCCCACAAGGGUCUGGUAAUUGGAAUGAGUACAACUUAAGCCCCUUAACGAGGAGCAACUGGAGGGCAAGUCUGGUGCCAGCAGCCGCGGUAAUUCCAGCUCCAGUAGCGUAUAUUAAAGUUGUUGCGGUUAAAAAGCUCGUAGUUGGAUUUCGGGACCGCAGAGGAACGGUCUGCGCUGCCUUCGAGCGGCGUUUGUACUGUCCACUCGGUCUUACAUUGCUUCUGGAUGCUCGGCGCCGCUCUUAACUGAGUGGCGCUUCAGGCCGGGCGGUGCCUUCGCGGGUGCCGUUCGCGCCGGAGUUCCAGAUCCAUUACUUUGAGAAAAUUAGAGUGUUCAAAGCAGGCUGUUUGCAGCCCUGAAUACAUUAGCAUGGGAUAAUGCGAUUUGGACUUCGGUCCUCAUCUCGUUGGUUUCUGAGGUGCGCCGAGUCAGGAUUAAUAGGGAUAGUUGGGGUGAUUAGUAUUCAGGCGUCAGAGGUGAAAUUCUUGGACCGCCUGAAGACUAACUUGUGCGAAAGCAUUUCACAAGGAUGUUUUCAUUAAUCAAGAACGAAAGUUGGGGGAUCGAAGACGAUCAGAUACCGUCGUAGUCUCAACCAUAAACCAUGCCGACCAGGGAUCGGGAGACGUCGUAUUUCCAAGGACUCCCCCGGCACCUUGUGAGAAAUCAUAAGUGUCUGGGCUUCGGGGGGAGUGUGGUCGCAAGGCUGAAACUUAAAGGAAUUGACGGAAGGGCACCACCAGGAGUGGAGCCUGCGGCUUAAUUUGACCCAACACGGGGAAACUCACCAGGUUCGGACAGCAGAAGGAUUGACAGAUUGAUAGCUCUUUCUUGAUUUGCUGGGUGGUGGUGCAUGGCCGUUCUUAGUUGGUGGAGUGAUUUGUCUGGUUGAUUCCGUUAACGAACGAGACCUUAACCUGCUAAAUAGUCACGCCAGCCUUCUCGUUACGCCCGGUGCGGUGGUGGGUUCGCCUGCUGCUGUGCUGGGUGGGAACGGCUGAGCCGGUAACUUCUUAGAGGGACUAUCCGCGUCUAGCGAAUGGAAGUUUGAGGCAAUAACAGGUCUGUGAUGCCCUUCGAUAUCCUGGGCUGCACGCGCGCUACACUGACAGAGUCAACGAGUUCAAACUUGGCCUUGGCCGAUGGGUCUGGGUAAUCUUGUGAAACUCUGUCGUGCUGGGGAUAGAUCAUUGCAAUUAUUGAUCUUCAACGAGGAAUUCCUAGUAAGCGUGAGUCGUCAGCUCGCGUUGAUAGUCCCUGCCCUUUGAACACACCGCCCGUCGUUCCUACCGAUGGACG
rnacentral:rRNA from 1 species